AACGAACGCUGGCGGCAUGCCUAACACAUGCAAGUCGAACAAGACCUUCGGGUCUAUUGGCUCACGGGUACGUAACGCGUGGGAACCUUCCCUUAGGUUCGGACUAACUCCCCGACAGGGGUUCUAAUACCGGAUCAUGUCUUCGGACCAAAGAUUUAUCGCCUUUGGAUGGGCCCGCGUUGGAUUAGCUAGUUGGUAGGGUAAAAGCCUACCACGGCGACGAUCCAUAGCUGGUCUGAGAGGAUGAUCAGCCACACUGGGACUGAGACACGGCCCAGACUCCUCCGGGAGGCAGCAGUGGGGAAUAUUGGACAGUGGGCGAAAGCCUGAUCCAGCAAUGACGCGUGAGUGAUGAAGGCAUUAGGGUUGUAAAGCUCUAUUACCCGGGAUGAUAAUGACAGUACCGGGAGAAUAAGCUCCGGCUAACCCCGUG
rnacentral:rRNA from 1 species